GUGCUCACUUUGACAGCACAUAUAUCAAAAUUGGAAUAAUACAGAAGAUUAGCAUGGCACGGCCCCUGCGCAAGGAUGACAUACAAAUUGGUGAAGUGUUCCAUAUUAAA